GCCAGUUUGGCUCAAUGGAUAGAGCAUCAGCCUGUGGACUGAGGGGUCCUGGGUUCGAUUCCCAGUCAAGGGCA
rfam:Myotis lucifugus cont2.37789, whole genome shotgun sequence.